rnacentral:rRNA from 1 species
GAUGAACGCUGGCGGCGUGCCUAAUACAUGCAAGUAGAACGCUGAAGGAGGAGCUUGCUCUUCUGGAUGAGUUGCGAACGGGUGAGUAACGCGUAGGUAACCUGCCUGGUAGCGGGGGAUAACUAUUGGAAACGAUAGCUAAUACCGCAUGACAACAGUUAUUGCAUGAUAACUGUUUAAAAGGGGCAACUGCUCCACUACCAGAUGGACCUGCGUUGUAUUAGCUAGUUGGUGAGGUAACGGCUCACCAAGGCGGAGAUACAUAGCCGACCGGAGAGGGGGAUCGGCCAGCCUGGGAGUGAGACACGGCCCAGAGUCCUACGGGAGGCAGCAGUAGGGAAUCUGCGGCAAUGGACGGAAGUCUGACCGAGCAACGCCGCGGGAGUGAAGAAGGUUUUCGGAUCGUAAAGCUCUGUUGUAAGGGAAGAACGAGUGUGAGAGUGGAAAGUUCACACUGUGACGGUAUCUUACCAGAAAGGGACGGCUAACUACGUG